AUUGAACGCUGGCGGCAGGCCUAACACAUGCAAGUCGAGCGGAUGAAGGGAGCUUGCUCCUGGAUUCAGCGGCGGACGGGUGAGUAAUGCCUAGGAAUCUGCCUGGUAGUGGGGGAUAACGUCCGGAAACGGGCGCUAAUACCGCAUACGUCCUGAGGGAGAAAGUGGGGGAUCUUCGGACCUCACGCUAUCAGAUGAGCCUAGGUCGGAUUAGCUAGUUGGUGGGGUAAAGGCCUACCAAGGCGACGAUCCGUAACUGGUCUGAGAGGAUGAUCAGUCACACUGGAAGUGAGACACGGUCCAGACUCCUAGGGGAGGCAGCAGUGGGGAAGAUUGGACGCAGGGCGAAAGCCUGAUCCAGCCAUGCCGCGUGUGUGAAGAAGGUCUUCGGAUUGUAAAGCACUUUAAGUUGGGAGGAAGGGCAGUAAGUUAAUACCUUGCUGUUUUGACGUUACCAACAGAAUAAGCACCGGCUAACUUCGUG
rnacentral:rRNA from 1 species